rnacentral:rRNA from 1 species
ACCAGCAGCGAUAGCUCCUUGAAAGCACCAGUUCCGCAUGGAUCACUGAAGUUGAGCACAGUUGCGCGUGGUUAGUACCCGGAUGGGUGACCAUCUGGCCAAUAGCGUGCUGCUAGGU